CCGGCGUAGCCCUCGACGUGCUGAUUCCAGAAGUACAACUCAUUUUCCGAGCCGCCGCUCGUAGCCCCUUAGAUCGAUCGCCGAAGUUUCGGAUCUCGUUUCCGGUGAACUUUUCCGGCGAACCUUCGGUGAGUGUUUCCGGCUAGCUCCGACGUCCCCUGCGAAAACCGCCGCCACCGUGAGGUUCGUGUCGAUCUCCUCUACACCGACAGACCAUUAGUUUCGUGAAUCCGUCACGCGUUGACCGCUUUCCUUGUCUUCUCUUUCGUCUCCGGCGAACUCCACCAUUGCAGGUUUCUUGUUCAAGUUUUCCGGUCAUGGGCGCGCCCUUCACCUCGGGCCAUAGGGCCAAACCUGCGACGCUGCCCUAGGCCCACGGCCCCGCUGCCAGCACCGCCGCCCUGAGCCCCUGCGUCGAGUGCCU
rnacentral:lncRNA from 1 species